CCUGGACGCUGGCGGCGUGGCUAAGACAUGCAAGUCGCACGGACCCGCAAGGGUUAGUGGCGAACGGGUGAGUAAUGAAUCGCUAAUGUACCCCGGACUCUGGGAUAGCUUUCCGAAAGGGAGGGUAAUACCAGAUGAUAUAACCUGAUCGCAUGAUCGGGUUCUCAAAGGUCCGCCGGUCUGGGAGCAGGCGAUUUCGUAUCAGCUAGUUGGUGAGGUAACGGCUCACCAAGGCGACGACGCGUAGCCGGACUGAGAGGUUGGCCGGCCACAUUGGGACUGAGACACUGCCCAGACUCCUACGGGGGGCUGCAGUAACGAAUCUUCCGCAAUGUACGAAAGUAUGACGGAGCGACGCCGCGUGUAGGACGAAGCCCUUCGGGUGUAAACUACUGUCA
rnacentral:rRNA from 1 species